rnacentral:rRNA from 1 species
CGAUGAACGCUGGCGGCGUGCUUAACACAUGCAAGUCGAACGAUGAUCCCAGCUUGCUGGGGGAUUAGUGGCGAACGGGUGAGUAACACGUGAGUAACCUGCCCUUAACUCUGGGAUAAGCCUGGGAAACUGGGUCUAAUACCGGAUAUGACUCCUCAUCGCAUGGUGGGGGGUGGAAAGCUUUUUGUGGUUUUGGAUGGACUCGCGGCCUAUCAGCUUGUUGGUGAGGUAAUGGCUUACCAAGGCGACGACGGGUAGCCGGCCUGAGAGGGUGACCGGCCACACUGGGACUGAGACACGGCCCAGACUCCUACGGGAGGCAGCAGUGGGGAAUAUUGCACAAUGGGCGCAAGCCUGAUGCAGCGACGCCGCGUGAGGGAUGACGGCCUUCGGGUUGUAAACCUCUUUCAGUAGGGAAGAAGCGAAAGUGACGGUACCUGCAGAAGAAGCGCCGGCUAACUACGUGCCAGCAGCCGCGGUAAUACGUAGGGCGCAAGCGUUAUCCGGAAUUAUUGGGCGUAAAGAGCUCGUAGGCGGUUUGUCGCGUCUGCCGUGAAAGUCCGGGGCUCAACUCCGGAUCUGCGGUGGGGUACGGGCAGACUAGAGUGAUGUA